AUACGGAGGGUGCAAGCGUUAAUCGGAAUUACUGGGCGUAAAGCGUACGUAGGCGGUUAUUUAAGUCAGAUGUGAAAGCCCCGGGCUUAACUUGGGAACUGCAUUUGAAACUGGGUAACUAGAGUUUAGUAGAGGGGAGUGGAAUUUCAGGUGUGGCGGUGAAAUGCGUAGAGAUCUGAAGGAACACCAGUGGCGAAGGCGACUCCCUGGACUAAAACUGACGCUGAGGUACGAAAGCGUGGGUAGCAAACAGGAUUAGAAACCCUAGUAGUCC
rnacentral:rRNA from 1 species